UGCUUUUACCACCUUGGCUUCAUCUCACCA
rnacentral:piRNA from 1 species